rnacentral:rRNA from 1 species
CAUGAUGAACGCUAGCGACAGGCUUAACACAUGCAAGUCGAGGGGCAGCACAGGUAGCAAUACCGGGUGGCGACCGGCGCACGGGUGAGUAACGCGUAUGCAACUUACCUAUCAGAGGGGGAUAACCCGGCGAAAGUCGGACUAAUACCGCAUGAAGCAGGGGCCCCGCAUGGGGAUAUUUGUUAAAGAUUCAUCGCUGAUAGAUAGGCAUGCGUUCCAUUAGGCAGUUGGCGGGGUAACGGCCCACCAAACCGACGAUGGAUAGGGGUUCUGAGAGGAAGGUCCCCCACAUUGGUACUGAGACACGGACCAAACUCCUACGGGAGGCAGCAGUGAGGAAUAUUGGUCAAUGGCCGAGAGGCUGAACCAGCCAAGUCGCGUGAGGGAUGAAGGUUCUAUGGAUCGUAAACCUCUUUUAUAAGGGAAUAAAGUGCGGGACGUGUCCCGUUUUGUAUGUACCUUAUGAAUAAGGAUCGGCUAACUCCGUGCCAGCAGCCGCGGUAAUACGGAGGAUCCGAGCGUUAUCCGGAUUUAUUGGGUUUAAAGGGUGCGUAGGCGGCCUUUUAAGUCAGCGGUGAAAGUCUGUGGCUCAACCAUAGAAUUGCCGUUGAAACUGGGGGGCUUGAGUAUGUUUGAGGCAGGCGGAAUGCGUGGUGUAGCGGUGAAAUGCAUAGAUAUCACGCAGAACCCCGAUUGCGAAGGCAGCCUGCCAAGCCAUUACUGACGCUGAUGCACGAAAGCGUGGGGAUCAAACAGGAUUAGAUACCCUGGUAGUCCACGCAGUAAACGAUGAUCACUAGCUGUUUGCGAUACACUGUAAGCGGCACAGCGAAAGCGUUAAGUGAUCCACCUAGGGAGUACGCCGGCAACGGUGAAACUCAAAGGAAUUGACGGGGGCCCGCACAAGCGGAGGAACAUGUGGUUUAAUUCGAUGAUACGCGAGGAACCUUACCCGGGUUUGAACGCAUUCGGACCGAGGUGGAAACACCUUUUCUAGCAAUAGCCGUUUGCGAGGUGCUGCAUGGUUGUCGUCAGCUCGUGCCGUGAGGUGUCGGCUUAAGUGCCAUAACGAGCGCAACCCUUGCCACUAGUUACUAACAGGUAAAGCUGAGGACUCUGGUGGGACUGCCAGCGUAAGCUGCGAGGAAGGCGGGGAUGACGUCAAAUCAGCACGGCCCUUACAUCCGGGGCGACACACGUGUUACAAUGGCGUGGACAAAGGGAAGCCACCUGGCGACAGGGAGCGAAUCCCCAAACCACGUCUCAGUUCGGAUCGGAGUCUGCAACCCGACUCCGUGAAGCUGGAUUCGCUAGUAAUCGCGCAUCAGCCAUGGCGCGGUGAAUACGUUCCCGGGCCUUGUACACACCGCCCGUCAAGCCAUGGGAGCCGGGGGUACCUGAAGUCCGUAACCGCGAGGAUCGGCCUAGGGUAAAACUGG